rnacentral:tRNA from 1 species
UAACCUAUAACUUAAAUGGUCAAAGUAUACGAUCGAUAAUCGUACUAUGUAAGUUCAAUUCUUACUAGGUUAA